AUCUACAGUCAACCUCCGCUGGUUAAGGCUGUUCUCGUCUGAACACAGAAGCAAAACGGUGUCUGGCCUGGUCAGUACUUGUAUGGGAGACCACCUUGGAAUUCCAGGUGCUGUACGUU
rnacentral:rRNA from 1 species